rnacentral:rRNA from 1 species
UACGUAGGGGGCAAGCGUUGUCCGGAAUCAUUGGGCGUAAAGAGCGUGUAGGCGGCUCGGUAAGUCCGCUGUGAAAGUCCAGGGCUCAACCCUGGAAUGCCGGUGGAAACUGUCGAGCUAGAGUCCGGAAGAGGCGAGUGGAAUUCCUGGUGUAGCGGUGAAAUGCGCAGAUAUCAGGAGGAACACCAAUGGCGAAGGCAGCUCGCUGGGACGGUACUGACGCUGAGACGCGAAAAGCGUGGGGGAGCAAAACAGG